CCACGACCGCUGCCUGUUACACUCAGGGCCGGCCCGACCCUUAGGCGACCGCCCCGGCCCAAAGGAAGGCCACCGCAGGCGUAGGCUCAAAGGAGAGCUACAGUAAAAUCUUAAAUUUUCUUCGCUGCUGUAGUGCCACGGCCACUUUCCAUCGCAAUCGCACAGUAAGAGGCUACUUCCCAUCGCACCGAGGGCUGCUUCCCAUCGCACCAGGGGCGAGCCAGCGAGGUCGUCUCCGGCCGGGGUUACAAGGAGUACCGCGGCUACGGGCUACUGCAGCCGGGGAACCAGACCCUCGAUCAGUUCACUGUUCAUCAAAGACAUCUCUUACCGCCUCUGUUCGCCGACUCGCCGUUCCCAAAUCCCACAUUCCCACUUCGGCAGCAGGCAGUCCGGGCCUGUCCGGCGUCUUCUCGUCUGGGUCGCAGGAGCCAGAAGCCUUCCGCCAAAAUCACAUCUCCAAUCUCUUACCCAAGUCCUCGGCCGCUCCCAAUCCUAUCCGCUGAUCCGCAGUCGUUUCUAGUUAGGCCUGAGAACAAGACAAAUCCACCGAAGUCGAGGCCACUCGUCCCCGGACCUUAUUUCCACUCGCAAGGUAUGCCCUUUUUUUCUUCUUAUCUCGUUCUCCGAACUCUUUUUGUGAUAACCAUUUCUCUGUCCAAUGGCCAGGCCGAGGCUUGGCUUGGCUUUACUUGAUCUCACAUCGUGAGCCUUUUCGUGGUCCACCAACUGUUUGGCAAAUUGUGUGAACGAGUUUGAUUUUUCCACUUGGAUUAAAAAUCUGGAUUGGUGUUGCUAGGUUAUAAAUUUUAUAGAUCAAUGAUGCAGCAAGAUAUCUUGCCUCUGGUCCCUGCAUUCCCUAGUCAUCAGGCUAACGUCUCUCAUGUGACACCGAGAUGAUUCAGUUGUUUAUACUUAAUUCAAUUUGACCUCUUAGUCCACUUUUCCGUUAAUUUUAAUACAUAGAUUAUUCUCUGUUUAAUGGCUAACUUAUCGUACUGCAGAUUUCCUAGUAUUAGUGUUCUCUAAGAGUAACUUGGACGUCCAUGCACACAUGUGUAUAAUGCCUACAUCAAAGUAGUAUCUUUGUGCUUUAGCAAAAAAAAAAGUAGUGUCUUUGCGUACCCGAUUCGAAUUCAGGUCAAAUUUUUUGGAACCUAAUAGGAUUGCAAAUUUGAUAUCCUCGAGACAUAUUUAAAAUUUCUAGUUGGAUACUGUUGCCGCUGAAAUCCAGCCCAAUCUCGGUGCUGACUAAGCUGGAUGGUUGUGGAAGAUCAAUAGUAACCCGUUCAGGUCGGC
rnacentral:lncRNA from 1 species